GGGCCGCUAGCUCAGUUGGUAGAGCAAGGGACUUUUAAUCCCUGGGUCCAGGGUUCGAGCCCCUGGCGGCCCACAA
rnacentral:tRNA from 1 species